CUGUGCGACCCACCAGCAUUUUAUCGGAUUUUUGCAUCCCUAACAAACUAGACUUAAACACUGUGUGGAGGAUUCAAAGGGACUUUGACUAAGAGGCUCGUAUCACACGGAAAGUAGCCGAAAAAUCUUUACCGAGAAGUCCCUGGUUACUAGUCUAUGACGUCAGAAGGUAACAGCUCGUGACUACAAUAGAAACAACUAGGUAAUGUUUGUUCCGAAUUAAAUUUUGAAAUCAUGGCGAAUCUGCUAUCCUUGGAUAACAAAGUCUUUGCCUCGUAUGUUUUCUAUGCUGCAGUGUUAAUCCUUAAGAUCUUUGCUGUUGUUUUCUUGAUAGUAUAUUAUCGUCUUACAAGGAAGGUUUUCCCGUCUGAAG
rnacentral:lncRNA from 1 species